rnacentral:rRNA from 1 species
CCAAUAGCGUAUAUUAAAGUUGUUGCAGUUAAAAAGCUCGUAGUUGAAUUUCGGAAUCCAUCCGUCGGUCGGGCUUCACGGUCCGCACUGGUGUGAUGGAUUCCUACCUUCUGAAUAACCAGCAUGUCAUUAAUUUGGUGCGUUGGGGAAGCAGGACUGUUACCUUGAAAAAAUUAGAGUGCUUAAAGCAGGCUAGUGCCUGAAUACAUUAGCAUGGAAUAAUGAAAUAGGACGGCAUGGUUCUAUUUUGUUGGUUUCUAGGAUCACCGUAAUGAUUAAUAGGGAUAGUUGGGGGCAUUAGUAUUCAAUUGUCAGAGGUGAAAUUCUUGGAUUUAUUGAAGACUAACUUCUGCGAAAGCAUUUGCCAAGGAUGUUUUCAUUAAUCAAGAACGAAAGUUAGGGGAUCGAAGACGAUCAGAUACCGUCGUAGUCUUAACCAUAAACUAUGCCGACUAGGGAUCGGACGAUGUUAAUUUUUUAAUGACUCG